rnacentral:rRNA from 1 species
AGCGAACGCUGGCGGCAGGCUUAACACAUGCAAGUCGAACGGGCAUAGCAAUAUGUCAGUGGCAGACGGGUGAGUAACGCGUGGGAACGUACCUUUUGGUUCGGAACAACACAGUGAAACUUGUGCUAAUACCGGAUAAGCCCUUACGGGGAAAGAUUUAUCGCCGAAAGAUCGGCCGGAGUCUGAUUAGCUAGUUGGUAGGGUAAUGGCCUACCAAGGCGACGAUCAGUAGCUGGUCUGAGAGGAUGAUCAGCCACAUUGGGACUGAGACACGGCCCAAACUCCUAGGGGAGGGAGCAGAGGGGAAUAUUGGACAAUGGGGGAAAGCCUGAUCCAGCCGUGCCGGGUGAGUGAUGAAGGCCCUAGGGUUGUAAAGCUCUUUUAUGCGGGAAGAUAAUGACGGUACCGAAAGAAUAAGCACCGGCUAACUUCGUG